rnacentral:tRNA from 1 species
GUCCCGGUAGCUCAGCGGAUAGAGCGACCGCCUCCUAAGCGGUAGGCCGGAGGUUCAAUUCCUCUCCGGGACGCCA